AAAUAUUAAAUCAUGACCAAAGAAGGAUAACAUAUUAAUUACUUCUCACAAGUAAAGGAAACAUUUACGGUUCAACGACCGAAUCACCCAACAGGUUUAUAAAAUGAUAGAUGCAUCUCCAAUAUUCAUUGUUUGCUCCAUUACACAAAAUACCCAGGUGACAAGAUGACAUAUAGGUUUACAAAAUGAGACCUAAAAGACGCAUUGUUUUUGCUCUGUUACAGAAAAUCUCUAGCUGAUGCAAACUGACAUCUUCCUGGUUCCUUCCCGCUCCUUUUGUAUGUCUUUUCUACAAAGGGUAAAAAUGUAAUGGUGAGCAUGCAUUGAGAGACAAUGGCAAAAACAAUAAUUGUAUAAAGCAUCUAUGGCAAUUGGCAAUAAAAAACUAUGGGAUUUUAGUGUUACAAAAAUAGCUCAAUUUCAAAACAAUGCCACAACAUGUGUUAAUUAGAUCUUUGCUGUGUUGGACAUCAUAAAGCCUCGAUGCAACGUGACCAUGAAGUACAUUUCAGGAAAUAUGAGCAAUAUAGAGGUGUACUCGGAGCAACACCUGGUACUAUUUUGCAAUAUAAAGCAGCACCAGGGACGAGCUGGAGCGCGAAACGGUGAACUUUUCGCGCCCCAACGGCCAUCCGGCCAUCUAGCGCUUGGCGCCAAGCCAGUAACCAAUUAUGCAUAGCAAGUAUGUGAUCUACUAACUCCUAAUCUAUCUGUUUGUUAGCCACUAACUCCUAAUCUAUCUACCAUUUCAGUUAUUCACAUAAUUUCUGAAUCAAACAGCCAGACUAAAAGCACUCCAUCAACUAAUCAUAUACUAAAAGAAAAAUAAAUAGUGGACACUCCACACACACCUUGUGCACUAAGGUGGUGUUUGGUUCAGGAAAAUAUGAUGCUAGGUACAAUCAAAUACCACAAGCUGGUCACUAAGUACCAAUGAUUCUGCUACUCUUCUUCCUCUGCUCAAUGGUACCAACAAUGGUUCUCUGUGCAACCUGCAACAAAAACAAAAGAGAGAUGAAGUCAGGUCGCAUGUACAGAGAGACGAAAAUCCACACUGCGUGAGGUCUCCCCAAGUUCAGAUGCUAAACUUCCUUAAGAGGAAAUACAAGAAUCUAGCCCCGAUGCUUAUCUCACCAAGUCAGAGAAACCACUUCCUAUGAAAGGUAAAAACUUGUUCAGUAUACAGAAUUUUGUUUUAGCCCAUGAUGUUGAAUAUAAAAUCUCUUACGAGAUCAUGCUGAACAACACUAAGGACAAUGUAGAAACUUGCUAGACUUAAUGAGUGAUCCCUGCUCAUUGAACCUGUAACAAUUCAGGCAUAGACCAUGUAAAAUGCAUCUGUUCCUUCUUUUUUAAUGUCAGGACAAACGUGUGUACUUACACAACUAACGGUAAUGAAACACUGUUCUCAAAUCAUAUGUACAGAUCCAGUUCGGCCUCCACAUGAAGCUCCAGAGUUAGUAUCAUCAUUUCCUUAGAAGAACCUCAGAGUUGUCCCUGCCACAUGCGUUCUACGGAAGAUCCCCACUGCCGGAGCUCCAACAUGCCUCUAGGAGAGAGAGAGAGAGAGAGAGAGAGAGAGAGAGAGGAGUUGUACCUCAUAUGCACGCUGCCCGGUUACAAGUUGAAGCAGCCACUCGGACGGACGAGCGCGGGGCGCCGAUGGAUGUGCAGGACGGAACUGCGCGGGGCGCCGAUGGACGGGCAGGAUGGUGCGGGGCGGAGAUGGAUGGGCACGACGGAGCGGCGCAGGGCGGCCAGGGAGGCACGGGACGGCGCGGGGCAGCGCAGGGCAGUUAGGACGGCGCGGGGCGGCGCGGCAGAGGCAUGACGGCGCGUGGUGGCGCAACAGAGGCAGGACGGCACGGGGCUGGCAGGACGGCGCAGGGCGGGCAGGACGGCGUAGCGGAGGUCGUGGGAGGCGUGGGGCGGCGGUGGAAUGGCGGAGGACGGCGCAGGGCGGGCAGGAUCUAGGGAUUUGGCGGCGUGGCUGGGGGAUUUGGCCC
rnacentral:lncRNA from 1 species